rnacentral:rRNA from 1 species
UACGUAGGGUGCGAGCGUUGCCCGGAUUUAUUGGGCGUAAAGGGCGCGUAGGCGGUCACGCACGUCCGUUGUGAAAUCGCUCGGCUCAACUGGGCGGGGUCAGCGGAUACGGCGUGGCUGGAGCAAGCUAGGGGGCAAUGGAAUUCCCGGUGUAGUGGUGGAAUGCGUAGAUAUCGGGAGGAACACCAGUGGCGAAGGCGGUUGCCUGGAGCUUUGCUGACGCUGAUGCGCGAAAGCGUGGGGAGCAAACGGG